rnacentral:rRNA from 1 species
GACGAACGCUGGCGGCGUGCUUAACACAUGCAAGUCGAACGGAAAGGCCUCAGCUUGCUGGGGUACUCGAGUGGCGAACGGGUGAGUAACACGUGGGUGAUCUGCCUUGCACUCUGGGAUAAGCUUGGGAAACUGGGUCUAAUACCGGAUAUGAACUGCCUUUAGUGUGGUGGUUGGAAAGUUUUUUCGGUGCAAGAUGAGCUCGCGGCCUAUCAGCUUGUUGGUGGGGCAAUGGCCUACCAAGGCGUCGACGGGUAGCCGGCCUGAGAGGGUGUACGGCCACAUUGGGACUGAGAUACGGCCCAGACUCCUACGGGAGGCAGCAGUGGGGAAUAUUGCACAAUGGGCGGAAGCCUGAUGCAGCGACGCCGCGUGGGGGAUGACGGCCUUCGGGUUGUAAACUCCUUUCGACAGGGACGAAGCUUUUUGUGACGGUACCUGUAUAAGAAGCACCGGCUAACUACGUG